AGUGUGGCCAGCAGCCAGCCUAACCAGUAACCAACCUGCAACCACCCCUCGCCCGUGCCACUGCCGUGCCGUGCCAGUACAAGCUCAUCAGUCAUCCCGGUUGUGCUGUGCGCGAUCGAUGCGUGGGCGACGUAGCGUUACGAGCGUUGCGAGCGGCGACGACGACGGCGCGAAUCUGAGCCAGCGGUGGUUGCCCGGUUGGCAUGAGGCUGGUGAGUGUGGUGAGCUAUAUAGCAGGGGGUAGCAAUUGAUAAAGCACCUGCACCUAACUACCUAUAACAGAAACAGGGAAAGGUUAAUGUUUUUUGGGGGGUUGGUUGGCUACACUGAUGAGAGUCUGAAACCUUCCCAUCCAUCGACCGAUCGCCGGCUUCUUUAGUUCCAAGCUACUGUCAUGAGACAGAAUCUGGUUCGUUACUCGUCGGUGCCGCGCUGUCGCUUCCCUGAAAAAACGCAUUGUACCCUUGUUUUUUAAUUAGGACAAACUGAAAAGAUUAUUGCGAAAGCAAGCUUAGCAGUCAGCACCAGGUUACACCUUCAUCAGCUAGCUCAGCAGGCAUGUCAAGGCUUCAAGCAUGGCUAUGCUAGCGCUAUUAUAUUUUCUAUCCAUCAAAACAUCAACUUUAUUUCAUGGCCACACAGCAGAUCGAGAACUCGCUUACAGUGCUCUUCUUAAGCAACCUUUGCUUGAUUGCCUGAAAGCAUACACGUGUCGCCAGCUAGUUGAAUUGAUUAAACUUGCUGGUCUAGCUGGUUAGGCAUACAGUUGUCUGGCCGGUGUAGUAACAUUUUCUAGCUAGUUACAUGUGACUGAUAUUGCUUGCCGUAUCGGGUGCCAUUGAAAACUGCGGGGAGAAGAGUAUUGUGACAGCUACAGUCUCCAGCUCUAGCUGCAGCUUGCAAGACUGUCAACAUGUGGACGUGCUGCCAACGCUCACAGCUAUGUAUGUACUACUAGCACACACCUACAAGUACAGCUAGUCGAAUGAAUUUAGCCAUGAUGUCUGAAAAACACUUGCUAGCUACUAUUUCCAGAAUGAAAAAUAAGUGACGAGAAAAAAAAAAUGCAAUACAACAUUACAGCACCAACAUUGCAGUGUAGUUAAUGGCAAUACAUACAGCCUAGCUAGUUUUUCUUUCUUGUGGCUCCAGUCUGUAUCUAAUGAUGUAUUAGAAUCAACCAUGCAAUGCAACUGUCCCAAUUCCCUUCU
rnacentral:sRNA from 1 species